GAAAAUGAAGGCUUUCUUGCCAUGCUAAUGUAACUGGAGGCAAUUUCUCACCUCAGUCACAAAAAUACCAUUUGCAGUAACCAGCGUCGAUGGAGACAAGUACUUACUUUAUAUUCCUCAAUAAAUCUUUAGGAAAGCUACUAUCAAGCAAGCUAGAGUUGCCAAAUUUCAGAGAACCCUUAGCAUGGAUGAAUCACGAUCUGAAAAGCCCCGCAUACGUAUACCUAUGAAAGGACGUAUUCAACUGGUUCUCAGCAAUCCAGAGAGGACACCUAUCCAUACCUUCUUCUGCAAUUAUGAUUUGAGUGACAUGCCAGCUGUACCAAGACAUUCUUGCGGCAAAAGGUGACUUUAACUGCAUCUGGAUCGAAGUCCAUGAUGGGUAAGGAAAGCCAAAAGAUUAUGAUAUUAGAGAUGAUGACAAGCCUCAGAUGAUGACGGCCACCAGUCACGGAGAUAAUAAAGAUCUUCUCACCUUAAAAUGUGGAGAGUUUGAUAGUUUUACAUGUUCAAAGGCUGGCAUUUUGCUUUAUGCUCUUCACCUUCGCUUUAUGUGUCCUUUCCUAAAAGACGUUCAAGAUCUGUUCAUAAGUGCAAAUCUGACACUCUCUCUGCACAAGUGAGAAUAUUGUUGACGUUGAACCUGAAAGAAGCUUCUAUUUGUAUGAUGAUAUGAGGGUAGUGUUUCCUCAUCGUCAUUCAGAUUCUGAUGAGGGCAAGUUACAUGUGGAAUAUCAUUUCCCUUCUAAUCCAAAAUACUUCGACAUCAGCUGCUGAAAUGCCUCUGUCCGCCUCAAUGCUUUUGUAUAUAUACAGUUGUAAAUAUUGUACACAACAAUUCAUUUCUUUCUAUUUUCGUGCCAUUUGCCUCUAUGUAACUAAUAAUUUGUAAAAUUUGUAUUCUAGUUGUUCAUAUUUGAUACAUAGUACUAUUUCUUUGA